AGGAACACCUAACUCAUAGCCCUGUAUUUUGCUAAGUUUUUCCUCUACUCUUGAGUCCUCCUUUAAUCUAUAGAGUGUUAUUCUACACUGGACCUCUCUCUUAUUUUUUGGAGUCUAGCAUCUUGCAUCUUCCUGGAGCCCCAACUAAACUCAUAACUUCUAAGCUUCUAAGAAAUAUAUGACGAGCUCCAUGAGGGCCAAGGCUCUCCAUUCUUGUUCACCACUGCACACUCAGGAGCUCAUGGCAUGCUGGCUGUGCUAGUUCUAUCCUCAACAGAAUAAUUGCUGACAAACUCUCUUGCCCAGAAAAUGUCUACUGGAAUUAUGGAGUACAAAAAAACUACAAAAGCAAUGAAAAAAAGAAGGAUGUUUUAUUUACAUCCUAUUUCAAAACCAUUGCUUUCUUGCUAUU
ensembl:lncRNA CHRM3-AS2 CHRM3 antisense RNA 2